UCCCACGUUGCCUUCAGUGUGCUGAGAGCAGAGACAUCAUUUCCAUAGAGAGGAGGCUUUGCAUGGUCAGCUGAUCCUCCAGUGAACUGAGAAGGUUUAUAGUCCUGUGAGUUCAACACUGCAGGACUCACAUGUGUCAGUCAGCAGAAAGCACCAUGACUCUCAUCACCAUCCUCAUCUGGACGCUGGCCUGCUGCUGUUUCACAGGAUGCAGCGGUCAGACUGUGACUGUGACUCAGCCUGCAGUCGAGACGUCUGCUCCAGGAUCCACCGUCACUCUCACCUGUAAAAGAGUUCCCAAUGAUGGCAAUUGGCCAUUGACGUCCUGGUAUCAACAGAAAUCUGGACAGCCUCCAAAGCUCCUAAUAAAACAUGUGAGCACACUUGAAUCAGGAACAGAACCUCGGUUUAGUGGCAGUGGAAGCGGCUCUGACUUCUCUAUGACCAUCACUGGACUGAAGGCUGAAGAUGCAGCAGUUUAUUACUGUCAGAGUUACCACGCUAUAAACAGUGCAGGCGUGUUCACACAGUGAUUUAGAGCCGUACAAAAACCUCCUUCAGUCUGAAGCAAAGCGUCCUGCUGCAGCUGCAGAGGUGAAGAGACUGAGAGGAGGAGAACUGGUCCAGUGAACACAA